UAAUACGUUCACUUAGCAUGUCUAAAAACGCAACGGUUUAGCGUAUACACGACUGAAGCUUAUGGAAUCGAUGGAAUCCAGCAACAAGUUCACCGGGGCGUGAAUGGCCACUCGAAGGAACACACAAAACACACGAACCGUAUCCCCAUCGAUGAGGUCACUGUCGCACAUAUGGAACAUCAUAAAUCAUUUAUCAGUCAAAAACAACGAAAUUAAUAAAACUCAAAUUAACUCCUGAAAUAUGGAGUCUUUUGAUACAAUGAAGAGUCGAUAACUACCCUAUUGGUCUACCUUGGAUGUACAACAUUAUAAUUGACCUGUUAAGUAAUUCUAAAGACAUAUGUUCACCAUAAUCUAUACUCGAUGAAGACCCUCCUUGGUAACUAUGAUAACGAAAGACAUAAGUCUGAUUGUAAUCUACUGCUCUUUGAUUCUCUCACUCACACAAGGUCGUGUUCUACAUAAGCACAAAGACAAGGCAAAGAAAACAUAUAGGAAACACAGUAAGAAUGUCCCAAGAUCUGCCUUGGUUGGAAUUCGCCCAGAUGACCUCAAAUCACACCCUGCUACGCCAAAAGAUGUUUCAGGUUUCAAAAAGAGUUUCGGACAAAGCAUUAACUUGCCGGAAAUCGAAGGUAUG